AAGCUCACUCACACUCAAUGAGUGGAGGUUCAAUCUGAGCUUCUCUUGGGUCACAUAGUAAGGAGCUAGCCCUUCGGCCAUCUAUUCAAAACAGUAAUGAGACUUGAGAGAAGCUCAGAUUGAAUUUCCACUCAUUGAGUGUGAGUGUGA